rnacentral:rRNA from 1 species
AGUGAACGCUGGCGGUAGGCCUAACACAUGCAAGUCGAACGGCAGCACAGUAAGAGCUUGCUCUUACGGGUGGCGAGUGGCGGAUGGGUGAGGAAUACAUCGGAAUCUACUUUUUCGUGGGGGAUAACGUAGGGAAACUUACGCUAAUACCGCAUACGUCCUACGGGUGAAAGCAGGGGUUCUUCGGACCUUGCGCGAUUGAAUGAGCCGAUGUCGGAUUAGCUAGUUGGCGGGGUAAAGGCCCACCAAGGCGACGAUCCGUAGCUGGUCUGAGGGGAUGAUCAGCCACACUGGAAGUGAGACACGGUACAGACUCCUACGGGAGGAAGCAGUGGGGAAUAUUGGACAAUGCGCGCAAGCCUGAUCCAGCCAUACCGUGUGGGGGAAGAAGGCCUUCGGGUUGUAAAGCCCUGUUGUUGGGAAAGAAAAGCAGCAGGUUAAUACCCCGCUGUUCUGACGGUACCCAAAGAAUAAGCACCGGCUAACUUCGUG